GGUUAAGCGACUAAGCGUACACGGUGGAUGCCCUGGCAGUCAGAGGCGAUGAAGGACGUGCUAAUCUGCGAAAAGCGUCGGUAAGGUGAUAUGAACCGUUAUAACCGGCGAUGUCCGAAUGGGGAAACCCAGUGCAAUUCGUUGCACUAUCGUUAACUGAAUACAUAGGUUAACGAGGCGAACCGGGGGAACUGAAACAUCUAAGUACCCCGAGGAAAAGAAAUCAACCGAGAUUCCCCCAGUAGCGGCGAGCGAACGGGGAGCAGCCCAGAGUCUGAAUCAGCUUGUGUGUUAGUGGAACGGUCUGGAAAGUCCGACGGUACAGGGUGAUAGUCCCGUACACCAAAAUGCACAGGCUGUGAACUCGAAGAGUAGGGCGGGACACGUGGUAUCCUGUCUGAAUAUGGGGGGACCAUCCUCCAAGGCUAAAUACUCCUGACUGACCGAUAGUGAACCAGUACCGUGAGGGAAAGGCGAAAAGAACCCCGGCGAGGGGAGUGAAAAAGAACCUGAAACCGUGUACGUACAAGCAGUGGGAGCACCUUCGGGUGUGACUGCGUACCUUUUGUAUAAUGGGUCAGCGACUUAUAUUCUGUAGCAAGGUUAACCGUAUAGGGGAGCCGCAGGGAAACCGAGUCUUAACUGGGCGUUAAGUUGCAGGGUAUAGACCCGAAACCCGGUGAUCUAGCCAUGGGCAGGUUGAAGGUUGGGUAACACUAACUGGAGGACCGAACCGACUAAUGUUGAAAAAUUAGCGGAUGACUUGUGGCUGGGGGUGAAAGGCCAAUCAAACCGGGAGAUAGCUGGUUCUCCCCGAAAGCUAUUUAGGUAGCGCCUCGUGAACUCAUCUUCGGGGGUAGAGCACUGUUUCGGCUAGGGGGUCAUCCCGACUUACCAACCCGAUGCAAACUACGAAUACCGAAGAAUGUUAUCACGGGAGACACACGGCGGGUGCUAACGUCCGUCGUGAAGAGGGAAACAACCCAGACCGCCAGCUAAGGUCCCAAAGUCAUGGUUAAGUGGGAAACGAUGUGGGAAGGCACAGACAGCCAGGAUGUUGGCUUAGAAGCAGCCAUCAUUUAAAGAAAGCGUAAUAGCUCACUGGUCGAGUCGGCCUGCGCGGAAGAUGUAACGGGGCUAAACCAUGCACCGAAGCUGCGGCAGCGACACUAUGUGUUGUUGGGUAGGGGAGCGUUCUGUAAGCCUGCGAAGGUGUGCUGUGAGGCAUGCUGGAGGUAUCAGAAGUGCGAAUGCUGACAUAAGUAACGAUAAAGCGGGUGAAAAGCCCGCUCGCCGGAAGACCAAGGGUUCCUGUCCAACGUUAAUCGGGGCAGGGUGAGUCGACCCCUAAGGCGAGGCCGAAAGGCGUAGUCGAUGGGAAACAGGUUAAUAUUCCUGUACUUGGUGUUACUGCGAAGGGGGGACGGAGAAGGCUAUGUUAGCCGGGCGACGGUUGUC
rnacentral:rRNA from 1 species